rnacentral:rRNA from 1 species
UACGUAGGGGGCAAGCGUUGUCCGGAUUCAUUGGGCGUAAAGAGCUCGUAGGCGGUUCAGUAAGUCGGGUGUGAAAGCUCCGAGCUCAACUCGGAGAGGCCACCCGAUACUGCUGUGACUUGAGUCCAGUAGAGGAGCGUGGAAUUCCUGGUGUAGCGGUGAAAUGCGCAGAUAUCGGGAAGAACACCCGUGGCGAAGGCGGCUCUCUGGGACGGUACUGACGCUGAGACGCGAAAGCGUGGGGAGCGAACAGG